UUUUUUUGGACUGCGUAGUUGUUAUCAAUGCCUUUUUCUUUUUCGGACAUUACUAUGUUGAUUGAUUAACUCCAUCAUCUCUCUUCUUCUCUUGUCCUAAAUAAUUCAUACAUUCAAUUUCAUCUACUAAUUGUCCUUCCAAUUUGUUUGACUAAACAUAGAUGAAAAUACAGUCACCUCAUUCACAUUUUCUUUAUUCAUUAUUGAAUCCAAACCACAUGCAGGAUCUAAAAUUAAACUGUAGAUCCAAACAACUAAAAACUAAAUCCACUUAAUUGUAAACUUAAGCAUCAACAGUGUCCUGUGAUUCAGCAGAAGCCAAAAUAAGCUCUGGUUCACUUGCAGAUUCACAUGUUCCAUCAAUUGCAUUGUUCCUCCCCAAUGCCUUCAAUGCCAAAUGUGCAGCUUUCUGUCCUGAUAUCAUCAUUGCCCCAAAUGUUGGACCCUACAAACCAACAAAAUCGUUAGCACAUCUCAAUCAAAUGUUCCUUAUCAUCUCCAAAUAGCAUCAAAACCAACCAAUAUGCAGUUGAAAAAAAUAUCUAACCCCCACCCCCCAAUAUCGAUUUCCAGAUUACUUUAAAUCACUUUCUAAAUCAUAAUUGCACAAACAAGGCUAUAAACCAAAAAUGUACACCUCAUAAGACCUCUUUAGAUAAACAGUUUAAUUAACUGCCGAUCGCAUAAACAAUUAUUAUAUACGCAAGUGUUUGGCUCUGUAAGCUAAGCUAUUUCUAUCGCAAAAGAUAAAAUAAAAUUGUUUUCUUAUAACCUAUAAAUUGUUUUCAUAAGUCAUCCCAAAUAGUUCCAUGAAACUUAUUACACCGCAUAAGCUCAAAUAAGUCGAUCCAAAUAGGUCUAAGUAUCAACUAUUUCUCUAACAAAAGAUAAAUCAAACGAUAUAGUAUAAACUAUAAACUAUUUUCAAAAGUUAUUAUUCACAAAUACUUAUAUGUCACUAUACAAGUUCAAAUAAUUCAAUCCUAAGAGGCCUAACUCAAUAUCACAAACGCAAAAAAAAAAUAAAAAAAUUAAGCUUGUGGCUAAAUAAUUGAAAUAAAAAAGCUUACCAUUCUUGGGGCACCAUCAAUUUCAGCAACUUCCAUACCAGUAACAAUCAUACCAGGAACAACUUCCCUUGUAAGACGAACAAUAGCAUCUUCAGCAGUAUUCAUAUCAAGUGCUUUCAUUCCAGGAACAUGAUCAAUCAUGCCAAUACUCUUCAACCUCUUAACACCAGUAGCACCAAAAGGACCAUCAUGUCCACAAGAACUCACAACAACCUUAGCUUCCAUAACAUUAGGAUCCAUGCAAGAUUGUGUAUCAUGGUUCAUCGAAACCAAAGCCCAGUUUGUAACAACACCAGCAACUCUGUUUUCCUUCACAAUCAAAUCCUCAGCAGCAACAGC
rnacentral:lncRNA from 1 species